UGGACAGAAAGACCCUAUGAAGCUUUACUGUAACCUGAAAUUGAAAUUGGACUUUAGUCGCGCAGCAUAGGUGGGAGGCUUUGACGAUACUCUUGCGGGAGUAUUUGAGCUAUCAGUGAGAUACCACUCUUCUAAUGUUAGAUUUCUAACUUUGAAUCAUUAUCUGGUCAAAGAACAGUUUCAGGCGGGCAGUUUGACUGGGGCGGUCGCCUCCCAAAUGGUAACGGAGGCGUACAAAGGUUUCCUCUGAACGGGUAGAAAUCGUAUCUAGAGUGUAAAGGCAUAAGGAAGCUUGACUGUGAGACCUACAAGUCGAACAGGGACGAAAGUCGGUCUUAGUGACCUGACGGUACUGAGUGGAAAGGCCGUCACUCAACGGAUAAAAGUUACUCUAGGGAUAACAGGCU
rnacentral:rRNA from 1 species